rnacentral:rRNA from 1 species
AUUGAACGCUGGCGGCAGGCCUAACACAUGCAAGUCGAGCGGAUGAAGGGAGCUUGCUCCUGGAUUCAGCGGCGGACGGGUGAGUAAUGCCUAGGAAUCUGCCUGGUAGUGGGGGAUAACGUCCGGAAACGGGCGCUAAUACCGCAUACGUCCUGAGGGAGAAAGUGGGGGAUCUUCGGACCUCACGCUAUCAGAUGAGCCUAGGUCGGAUUAGCUAGUUGGUGGGGUAAAGGCCUACCAAGGCGACGAUCCGUAACUGGUCUGAGAGGAUGAUCAGUCACACUGGAACUGAGACACGGUCCAGACUCCCACGGGAGGCAGCAGUGGGGAAUAUUGGACAAUGGGCGAAAGCCUGAUCCAGCCAUGCCGCGUGUGUGAAGAAGGUCUUCGGAUUGUAAAGCACUUUAAGUUGGGAGGAAGGGCAGUAAGUUAAUACCUUGCUGUUUUGACGUUACCAACAGAAUAAGCACCGGCUAACUUCGUG